AGCAGUAGGGAAGUUUUCGUUCAAUGGGCGGCAAGCCUGAAACGAGCGAUGCCGCGUGAGUGAAGAAGGCCUUCGGGUCGUAAAGCUCUGUUGCGGGGGAAAAAAGGCAGCAUCAGGAAAUGGGUGCUGACUGAUGGUGCCCCGCCAGAAAGUCACGGCUAACUACGUGCC
rnacentral:rRNA from 1 species